UACGAAGGGGGCUAGCGUUGUUCGGAAUUACUGGGCGUAAAGCGUGCGCAGGCGGCUUCUCAAGUCAGGGGUGAAAGCCCAGAGCUUAACUCUGGAAUUGCCUUUGAGACUGAGAGGCUUGAGUACGGGAGAGGUGAGUGGAAUUCCCAGUGUAGAGGUGAAAUUCGUAGAUAUUGGGAAGAACACCGGUGGCGAAGGCGGCUCACUGGCCCGUAACUGACGCUCAUGCACGAAAGCGUGGGGAUCAAACAGG
rnacentral:rRNA from 1 species